UGUGUUUAUAAGACUUUUCACUCUCAAGAGAACGAUACAGAGAAGAUUAGCAUAGGCCUCGCACAAUGAUCACAUGCAUAAAUUGAGAAAUAGUUUAAACUUUU